AUGGUGCUUCCUAAGGAGAUGGGGUCGCUUGGAGAGUACUUGGCGAUUCUGACUACGACCACACUGCCGUCGUUGGAGCCCAGUCGGCUGCUCGCCUUUGUGGACCGUGGAGGUUUGGACGCUGCUAUUGCGCUCUCACCUGAGGUUGUUGCCCAGGUGGCGUCCGUGGGUGCUGAGGUUGAUGAGAUAGGUGCUUUGGCAGCUAAUUAUGAGGUGAUGAAGCCCGUUCGGUCGCCCAUGUUUGACCGUGACGCUAUGUUGACACGUAUUGACGAGGCGGUCUUCGUGAAAAAACUUGGCCGCUUACUCGCCUCCUUGGAGAUAGCUUGUCCUGGGUCUUGCAGUGUGAUUGCUUGCCUCUUAGUGGAUGAGGUUUCUACAGGCAAAAUAAAGAAAGUGAACAAGGCUCUCAGGAGCAUAGGCAAGAAGAGUGUCGCCAUUGAUAAGGCGUCUGCGGCUGCUUAA
rnacentral:rRNA from 1 species